GGUUUGGUUGCUCAGUGGUUAGAGCGCCGUGUCAGUGACGCGAAGGUCAUGAGUUCGAUCCUCAUUCCAAGCCA
rnacentral:tRNA from 1 species